CCUACGUGAGGCUGCAGUCAGGAAUAUUGGUCAAUGGCCGAGACGCUGAAGCAGCCAAGUCGCGUGAGGGAAGGCGGCCCUACGGGUUGUAAACCUCUUUUGUCGGGGAGCAAAGCGAACCACGUGUGGUUCAUUGAGAGUACCCGAAGAAAAAGCAUCGGCUAACUCCGUUCCAGCAGCCGCGGUAAUACGGAGGAUGCGAGCGUUAUCCGGAUUUAUUGGGGUUAAAGGGUGCGCAGGCGGAGGUGCAAGUCAGCGGUCAAAUUGCGGGGCUCAACCCCUUACUGCCGUUGAAACUGCAUCCCUUGAGUGCGCGAGAAGUAUGCGGAAUGCGUGGUGUAGCGGUGAAAUGCAUAGAUAUCACGCAGAACUCCGAUUGCGAAGGCAGCAUACCGGCGCGCAACUGACGCUCAUGCACGAAAGCGUGGGUAUCGAACAGGAUUAGAUACCCCAGUAGUC
rnacentral:rRNA from 1 species